rnacentral:rRNA from 1 species
GAAAACUCCGGUGGUAAUGGAUGGGCAUGCGUUGUAUUAGUUAGUUGGUGGGGUAACGGCUCACCAAGACAACGAUACAUAGGGGGACUGAGAGGUUAACCCCCCACAUUGGUACUGAGACACGGACCAAACUCCUACGGGAGGCAGCAGUGAGGAAUAUUGGUCAAUGGACGCAAGUCUGAACCAGCCAUGCCGCGUGCAGGAAGACGGCUCUAUGAGUUGUAAACUGCUUUUGUACGAGGGUAAACGCAGAUACGUGUAUCUGUCUGAAAGUAUCGUACGAAUAAGGAUCGGCUAACUCCGUGCCAGCAGCCGCGGUAAUACGGAGGAUUCAAGCGUUAUCCGGAUUUAUUGGGUUUAAAGGGUGCGUAGGCGGUCGGAUAAGUUAGAGGUGAAAUCCCGAGGCUCAACUUCGGAAUUGCCUCUGAUACUGUUCGGCUAGAGAGUAGUUGCGGUAGGCGGAAUGUAUGGUGUAGCGGUGAAAUGCUUAGAGAUCAUACAGAACACCGAUUGCGAAGGCAGCUUACCAAGCUACUUCUGACGUUGAGGCACGAAAGCGUGGGGAGCAAACAGGAUUAGAUACCCUGGUAGUCCACGCAGUAAACGAUGAUAACUCGUUGUCGGCGAUACAAUGUCG